AGCUGAGUGGCCGAGGUUUAGGCGUUGGGCUUUUAACCCAAAUUACGGUCACGAGUGGCCCUUAGUUA
rnacentral:tRNA from 1 species